rnacentral:rRNA from 1 species
GACGAACGCUGGCGGCGUGCUUAACACAUGUAAGUCGAACGGUAAGGCCCUUCGGGGUACACGAGUGGCGAACGGGUGAGUAACACGUGGGUGAUCUGCCCUGCACUUCGGGAUAAGCCUGGGAAACUGGGUCUAAUACCGGAUAGGACCACUGCCUGCAUGGGUGGUGGUGGAAAGCUUUUGCGGUGUGGGAUGGGCCCGCGGCCUAUCAGCUUGUUGGUGGGGUGAUGGCCUACCAAGGCGACGACGGGUAGCCGGCCUGAGAGGGUGACCGGGCACACUGGGACUGAGAUACGGCCCAGACUCCUACGGGAGGCAGCAGUGGGGAAUAUUGCACAAUGGGCGCAAGGCUGAUGCAGCGACGCCGCGUGAGGGAUGACGGCCUUCGGGUUGUAAACCUCUUUCAGCACCGACGAAGCGCAAGUGACGGUAGGUGCAGAAGAAGGACCGGCCAACUACGUGCCAGCCGCCGCAGUAA